rnacentral:lncRNA from 1 species
AUGAUUGACAAGGAAGCAGCCUUUGAUGACGCAGCGGGAGAAUGUGUGAUCAACGAGGAGUAUAAAAUAUGGAAGAAGACCACCCCUUUCCUUUAUGAGUUGGUGAUGGCUCAGGCCCUGGAGUGGCCCAGCUUAACUGCCCAAUGGCUUCCAGAUAUGACCAGGCUGGAAGGGAAAGGUUUCAACAUUCAUUGGCUUGUCCUAGGAACACAC